AUAAAAGAGCUGGUCGAGUAGAGCCCUGCAGCGGGUGGUGCCUGCGGUUCCGGUGUGUUCCUGUCUGCGGCUCCAUGUGACUGCACAGCUGGCUCCUAUAUGGGCUUGAUGGAGAAAUUACUGGGUAAAAUUCUCAGGCCUGUGUUGUGUAGGGGUCAGAGUAAGAUUAGCCUAAUGGUCCCUUCUGACCUUAAAAUCUGUUAAUUCUUUAAGGGGGCUGGGGCCUUAUUUUGCAGGCAGUGUAACUCAGCCCCCACCUAGCUGGAGGAAGGACUCAGUGUGUGAGAACCUCUGUAAACAACAACCCAGCAGAAAUUAAGUCAGUGGGAUUUAAAGCUGUACAUGAAAGUUAUGCAUGUGUUUAAAUUCUUUGCUGAAGUGGUGCCCAUAUCAGGCAUGGAUGAUAACUUGUUGAAACCUGGCUAUAGAUUUUGAAAAUAGUUUCAGCUCUACAAGCUCUAGCAUAAACAAGACCUUGUGGUUGAAGAUCACCAGUUCCCAGCCAGCCAUAGAUCUGGGAAUGUGACCUGGUUCAGAGGCAUCUGGGAAUGGGAUACUGAGACUUUCAUCUUUAGGACACGAGCUCCAAUACAGCCCACCAUCAGGGGCACUGGAUGGAUCAAGGAAGCGCUAGGAGAAAAGAUUCCUUGGUUCUGCUCCUGACAGUGAUACCUAAAUGCUACUUAAUUAAAAACAGGUUGGAUCUCCUAGUGACUGGACCCCUUGUGUGAACUUUGACCACUGAUCUGGACUGUCCUUUGACCUGCUUGACUCCUGGGCAUUACAGCUUAGCACAAUGGGCUCCUGAUCAAUGACAGGGGCUCCUAGGAACUACUGUAAUACAAAUAAUUUAAAAAAAAUA